rnacentral:rRNA from 1 species
CAGUGUAUGGCUUAACAGCUAAAGCGUCUCCCUUACACAGAGGAAAUAUCCGUG